rnacentral:rRNA from 1 species
GACGAACGCUGGCGGCGUGCUUAACACAUGCAAGUCGAACGGAAAGGCCCUGCUUUUGUGGGGUGCUCGAGUGGCGAACGGGUGAGUAACACGUGAGUAACCUGCCCUUGACUUUGGGAUAACUUCAGGAAACUGGGGCUAAUACCGGAUAGGAGCUCCUGCUGCAUGGUGGGGGUUGGAAAGUUUCGGCGGUUGGGGAUGGACUCGCGGCUUAUCAGCUUGUUGGUGGGGUAGUGGCUUACCAAGGCUUUGACGGGUAGCCGGCCUGAGAGGGUGACCGGCCACAUUGGGACUGAGAUAGGGCCCAGACUCCUACGGGAGGCAGCAGUGGGGAAUAUUGCACAAUGGGGGGGAGCCUGAUGCAGCGACGCCGCGUGCGGGAUGACGGCCUUCGGGUUGUAAACCGCUUUCGCCUGUGACGAAGCGUGAGUGACGGUAAUGGGUAAAGAAGCACCGGCUAACUACGUG